GGGGUGUGAAGCUAGCUGAAGCUGGUUAGCUUUAGAAAGACCCUGAGUAGAUCUAGCAUGCUUCGUAGGAUAACCCCUCUGGCUUGUAUUUUAUUCUUUCUGUUUGGGGAUAAAGAGCAAUAAAACCACGGAACGACAGUGUUAAAUAGAAUCCUUCAGAGUUAAAUAAGAGAGGGAGUCUAUCUCUCAGGCAGGGUGAUUACUGCUGAAUUUGUGUGUCUGAUAUGCAUAUGUGGUGUGCUGUAUGUGUAAUAUAAUACUGUAUGUUAAAUUACAUACAUGUAAUAUAAUACUGUAUGUUUAAUUACAUACAUGUAAUAUAAUACUGUAUGUUUAAUUACAUACAUGUAAGAUAAUACUGUAUGUUUAAUUACAUGCAUGUAAUAUAAUACUGUAUGUUUAAUUACAUACAUGUAAGAUAAUACUGUAUGUUUAAUUACAUACAUGUAAGAUAAUACUGUAUGUUAAGUUACAUACAUGUAAAUAUAAUACUGUAUGUUUAAUUACAUACAUGUAACAUAAUAAUGU
rnacentral:lncRNA from 13 species